GGCUCAGGAAGCAAGAGAACCCUGUGGUCUAACCUUUCCCAUCUGCUCUCUUGUUCCCAG
ensembl:miRNA MIR6828 microRNA 6828